rnacentral:rRNA from 1 species
UAGAGUUUGAUCCUGGCUCAGGAUUAACGCUGGCGGCGUGCCUUAUGCAUGCAAGUCGUACGGAGAUGCAGGCUUCGGCCUGUAUUUCAGUGGCGAACGGGUGAGUAACACCUAAGUGACCUACCCUGUGGUGGGGAAUAACCCUGGGAAACUGGGGCUAAUACCGCAUAAUUUGGUGGGGGCAGAGCCCUACCAUCAAAGCCUUCGGGCGCCAUAGGAGGGGCUUGGGUCCUAUCAGGUAGUUGGUGGGGUAACGGCCUACCAAGCCGAAGACGGGUAGCUGGUCUGAGAGGACGGUCAGCCACACGGGGACUGAGACACGGCCCUGACUCCUACGGGAGGCAGCAGCAAGGAAUUUUGCGCAAUGGGCGAAAGCCUGACGCAGCAACGCCGCGUGGGGGAAGAAGGCUCUCGGGUUGUAAACCCCUUUUCUCGGGGAAGAUAAUGACGGUACCCGAGGAAUAAGUCUCGGCUAACUACGUGCCAGCAGCCGCGGUAAUA